GGGUUAAGUACCCAGGUGACCAGCCCCUGAAUCCGCCAGUGUUCUAAGCCAAUGCCCCCAAAAGCCACGCCUCCUUCUUACGGCCACCAGUACAAUCGCUGCAGCUACUUUCUCUUUUUGCACUUCAACUUGAACUAAGGAAGUGGGACCACUCCAUUCGCCUGGUGUCUUCCCCCGUGUAAUCACGAACACCAGAGGAUCCCUACAGUUGAGAAGAAGCGUCUGGACAUUAUUCUUCUUCUCCAUUAAAGUAAGGACAACAGGGACUUUUUAAUAUUACUGAAGCCACGCAUCCAGGAAAAUCCUACUUUGUAAUUAGGUCCUUCCGAGGCAUCGAACAUAAUGAGGUUCCUUCAAGUAAGCCUCGUGGCUCUCCUGUCUUUGGUCCUGCUCGGAGAAGAAGUUGCUGGAGGUGCCCUCACAACUCGCUCCAAACGUCAGUCUAGCGAUGAGGAGCAGUUACAAGGGGCAAGCUACGACUCCAGACCCCAAUCAGCACUUCGAAAAUCUCAAUCCGGUAAAAAAUGGGCGCCCAGGCCCAACAGACCGUCCCACCCCUGCAUAUACGCUUGUCUGUGUAGGGACUACUUGGGCGAUUGCUUACCAGAUGUAGAAUGUUGUGGGAGAAACUUUCUACAUCAGGUGUACUUGGCUUGUGCGAGAGGGUGGAAACAGACCCGGCAUAAGGUACUGGCAAGGGACAUAAGACAUGUCUGCUAACUUGG